rnacentral:rRNA from 2 species
CGGCUGUAGCGCGGUGGUCCCACCUGACCCCAUGCCGAACUCAGAAGUGAAACGCCGUAGCGCCGAUGGUAGUGUGGGGUCUCCCCAUGCGAGAGUAGGGAACUGCCAG